CUGUAACCAUGCUGAAGGUAGUAUUUGUGCUUGGAUGCCUCCUGAGCUUCGCUCUGGCUCAUCCUACGGAUAUGGAGCACAAACGACUUGCUCGGUCACACUCCGGCUCAAACUCUGGCUCAAAUUCCAAUGAGCGUAUAUACCGGCCACCUCAGGUGGUUAUGCCACCUCCGGUGGUUAUGCCUCCUCAGGUGGUUAAUCCUCCUCCAGUGGUUAUGCCUCCUCCGGUGGUUAAUCCUCCUCCAGUGGUUACGCCACCUACGGUGCCUAUCCCACAGUGGAUCAAGAACAUACUUGCCUUCUUCCAAUAAACUACUAAGUAAAAUUUGGAAUUUCGCUAGAGAUCAAUAAGUGAAUGAAUUUUGACAUCAGCUUUUGUGUCAGCUUUUCACAACAACUGUUUCUUUCUCUUUUCAAAUUUAAAUGAUGUUGUCUUACACUAGGUUCAAUUAAACAUGUGGAUCAAAAUCACUUUAUUCUCUGUAGUAGCUGAAAAAUAAACCCCAUAUAGAAAACAUGGACCAAAUACAGUAUGUUUGUUUUUCUUACAAUUCAUAUGUGUAAGGAACAUUGAUGAAGCUGUGUAAAAAGUUCUGUAUAAUCAAACUUUUUUGAUAGAUAGAUAGAUAGAUAGAUAGAUAGAUAGAUAGAUAGAUAGACAAAGUUCCAACACCUUCACUGUUUCCCAACACAUUUGAGUGUCUGUCUGACUGUUGUGAGGACUGUGGUCAGAAUGAGCCACCAGAUACAUGGUUCAC
rnacentral:lncRNA from 1 species